rnacentral:tRNA from 1 species
GCGUCAGUAGCGCAGCUGGAUAGAGUACCUGGCUACGAACCAGGCGGUCGGAGGUUCGAAUCCUCCAGGACGCGCCA